UAUUUAGCAACAAAAAAAAUAAUAAAUUAUUUAACAGAAAAGUCUGCAUAAAAUUAACCCAAGUAAAAGAAGGAUAUACCUCUUUGAAAAAAAGAAAAUUUGUAAUGAUGGAGUAACUUACUGAUGACUGAUCUUUGAGUAUCAUACAUUUGUCCUUGCUAUGGAGGGAAUGAAACACUACUCCAAAACAACAACAACUACCCAGUAUAGUACCACAAAGUUGGGUCUAGGGAGGGUAAUAUGUAGACGAGCCUUACCCCUACCCGAAAGGACAG
rnacentral:lncRNA from 1 species